rnacentral:tRNA from 1 species
GUAGCUUAAUGGUAGAGUGCUUGCCUUGUAUGCAUGAGGUCCUGGGUUCAAUUCCUCAGC